rnacentral:piRNA from 1 species
UAAAAACAGAAUUGUUUUUGCUAGUUUA